UCAGCAGUAGCAGCAGCAAUAGUAGUAGUAGUAGUAACGGCAAUAACGUUAUCUGAAAGAAAAAGAAAAUUAGAAGAGGUGGAUCAAAGAAAAGGUAGAAUAGUUGCGACUUCGGAGGCCUUGCUCCGAUCUCCUAAGCAUCGAACAACCAAGCACAAGAAGCAAGUAGCGAACGAACGAACGUACGAAGGAAGGAAGGAACGA